rnacentral:rRNA from 1 species
GACGAACGCUGGCGGCGUGCUUAACACAUGCAAGUCGAACGGAAAGGCCCUGCUUUUGUGGGGUGCUCGAGUGGCGAACGGGUGAGUAACACGUGAGUAACCUGCCCUUGACUUUGGGAUAACUUCAGGAAACUGGGGCUAAUACCGGAUAGGAGCUCCUGCUGCAUGGUGGGGGUUGGAAAGUUUCGGCGGUUGGGGAUGGACUCGCGGCUUAUCAGCUUGUUGGUGGGGUAGUGGCUUACCAAGGCUUUGACGGGUAGCCGGCCUGAGAGGGUGACCGGCCACAUUGGGACUGAGAGACGGCCCAGACUCCUACGGGAGGCAGCAGUGGGGAAUAUUGCACAAUGGGCGGAAGCCUGAGGCAGCAACGCCGCGUGCGGGAUGACGGCUUUCGGGUGGUAAACCGCUUUCGCCUGUGACGAAGCGUGAGUGACGGUAAUGGGUAAAGAAGCACCGGCUAACUACGUG